UAUGGCAGACAAGUGCAAAGGAUUUAAGAUCCUUAAAUAAAG
rnacentral:tRNA from 2 species